GAUGAACGCUGGCGGCGUGCCUAACACAUGCAAGUCGAACGGAGAUUACGGACGGAAGUUUUCGGAUGGAAGCCUGUAAUUCUUAGUGGCGGACGGGUGAGUAACGCGUGGGCAACCUGCCCUAUACAGGGGGAUAGCAGCUGGAAACGGCUGGUAAGACCGCAUAAGUCGGUUAAAUCGCAUGAUUUGAUCGGGAAAUGAGCAAUCAGGUAUAGGAUGGGCCCGCGUCCGAUUAGCCAGUUGGCAGGGUAAAAGCCUACCAAAGCGACGAUCGGUAGCCGGACUGAGAGGUCGGACGGCCACAUUGGGACUGGGACACGGCCCAAACUCCUACGGGAGGCAGCAGUGGGGGAUAUUGCACAAUGGAGGAAACUCUGAUGCAGCGACGCCGCGUGAGUGAAGAAGUAUUUCGGUAUGUAAAGCUCUAUCAGCAGGGAAGAUGAUGACGGUACCUGACUAAGAAGCCCCGGCUAACUACGUG
rnacentral:rRNA from 1 species